ACGGGUGGAGUAACGCGUGGGUAACCUGCCUCAUACAGGGGGAGUAACAGUUAGAAAUGGCUGCUAAUACCGCAUAAGACCACAGUACUGCAUGGUACAGUGGUAAAAACUCCGGCGGUAUGAGAUGGACCCGCGUCUGAUUAGGUAGUUGGUGAGGUAACGCCCACCAAGCCGACGAUCAGUAGCCGACCUGAGAGGGUGACCGGCCGCAUUGGGACUGAGACACGGCCCAGACUCCUACGGGAGGCAGCAUG
rnacentral:rRNA from 1 species